AUCACUUCUCUGUCUUUUGCCUAGGAUAAAGUAUAUAAUAUCUGUCUUUUAAGUUUAUAAUCUGGUAUGUCCUGUGCCUAAGGACAUUAUAUUAAAUCCAUUUUUGAAGCUUGGAGAUGGAAUAAGACUUGCAUCAACCACUUGAUGCAGUGAUCUGAUAUUUCAGUAUCUCUAUGACUGGCAUCUUC